GUGAAUCAUCGAAUUUUUGAACGCAAAUUGCGCCUUUUUCGGAAGGCAUGCCUGUUUGAGGGCACCAUUUAACAAAUCAUGUGCCCGUUGUGUGUAUUUUUACGCACACGUGCACACGUUGAUGAGCCCUCCCAACCAAAGAAAUUUUUCUGGUGGCACGUAAUCACCAGCGUGAGCUUUCCUCCAAUUUUUCCGUGUGUAGUAAAAUUUUUUUUUUCGGCGUUCGGGUAGUUGGAA
rnacentral:misc_RNA from 1 species